UACGUAGGUGGCAAGCGUUGUCCGGAUUUAUUGGGUUUAAAGGGUGCGUAGGCGGUCUUAUAAGUCAGUGGUGAAAUCUCCGAGCUUAACUCGGAAACUGCCAUUGAUACUAUUUGUCUUGAAUAUUGUGGAGGUAAGCGGAAUAUGUCAUGUAGCGGUGAAAUGCUUAGAUAUGACAUAGAACACCAAUUGCGAAGGCAGCUUACUACACAAUGAUUGACGCUGAGGCACGAAAGCGUGGGGAUCAAACAGG
rnacentral:rRNA from 1 species